rnacentral:lncRNA from 10 species
CCAAAGCCAGACCCAGAGGCCUGCCUGGGAGUGGGACUGAGAGCAGUGGCUCUGAGCAGAAGAUGGAGAUGGUCAAGGUUUCAAAAGACUGUGACUUCCACCUUGGUUUGCUCGGUCUGAUGAAGGAACUUUGAGCUGUGAGCUGCACUGUGAACUUUGCUGUGAGCUGCCCUGUGAUGGGAGAGGAGGCCUCCGCCUCACAGCCCUGGAGGACCUCAAUGCUGCCAACGUGUGACCAGAUGCAGAUCCUUCUCCAGUCAAGCCUGGACAUGACAUGACAGCAGCCCUGGGGACCUUGAUGCUGUGGCCUGUGCAAGACCCUGAGCCAGCCGCACCCAGAUCCCUCACCCACAGAAACUGCCAGAUUUUAAGUCUUCUGCUUGUAAGCCACUCUUUUUGCCAUAGUUUGUGUGCAGCAAUAGAUAACUGCUCUAGAGUUGUUAAAUGAGUAAGUUUUUUUAAAAACAGCAAAAACAGAUGGACGGACAGAGGGUCGGACAGCUGAACAAAUGGCAUUAGCCCCAGACUCUCCGCCGCCCUGUCUUCCACUCAUCUCCCAGUCUAGCGCCUGCUGCCUCCAGCCCUCACUCUCAGGCCAGUUCAGUUCUCCACACGGUUACCCAGUGUCUGCUGUGUGCCAGGCACCACACCAGGCAGGGUCUCUGGCCUAGUGCCCUCCCAUAACCCGACACAGUUCAGGCUGCAUGGUCAGAGCUGUCCAGAGUGAGGAAGGAGGAACUGGGCCCUGAUCACAGUGGGGGAGCAAGGGUGAGCCAAGCACGGCGGGAGCGGGGGCCCCAGCAGGAGCCUCUAGAAGGUCAGUUCGUUUCUGCCCUGCUUCAUUUCAUGGAGGGUUUGGGAUGGCAUAUAAAACUACACACG